rnacentral:rRNA from 1 species
GACGAACGCUGGCGGCGUGCUUAACACAUGCAAGUCGAGCGGUAAGGCUCCUUCGGGAGUCCACGAGCGGCGAACGGGUGAGUAACACGUGAGUAAUCUGCCCUUCACUUCGGGAUAACCACCGGAAACGGUGGCUAAUACCGAAUACGACCAGUCUUCGCAUGAGGUGCUGGUGGAAAGUCUUUUCGGUGAAGGAUGUGCUCGCGGCCUAUCAGCUUGUUGGUGGGGUAAUGGCCUACCAAGGCUUCGACGGGUAGCCGGCCUGAGAGGGUGACCGGCCACACUGGGACUGAGACACGGCCCAGACUCCUACGGGAGGCAGCAGUGGGGAAUAUUGGACAAGGGGCGAAAGCCUGAUCCAGCAACGCCGCGUGAGGGAUGACGGCCUUCGGGUUGUAAACCUCUUUCAGUACCGACGAAGCGACCUGUCGGGUGGUGACGGUAGGUACAGAAGAAGGACCGGCCAACUACGUG